UAGGAAAGCUGAGGCGAUUUGGGAGGGGCCUGCGGUCGAUUAGCUGGUUGGUGGGGUAAAAGCCUACCAAGGCGAUGAUCGAUAGCUGUUCUGAGAGGAAGACCAGCCACACGGGAACUGAGACACGGUUCCGACUCCUACGGGGGGCAGCAGUGAGGAAUAUUGCGCAAUGGGGGAAACCCUGACGCAGCAACGCCGCGUGGAGGAUGAAGGUUUUCGGAUUGUAAACUCCUUAACUGGGGGAAGAGGAAGGACGGUACCCCAGGACGAAGACACGGCUAACUAGGUGCCAGCAGCCGCGGUAAUACUUAGGUGUCGAGCGUUAUCCGGAAUUACUGGGCGUAAAGGGUGCGCAGGCGGCGAUACAAGUCUGGCGUGAAAGCUCCUGGCUUAACUGGGAGAGGACGUCGGAAACUGUAUGGCUAGAGUGAAUGAGAGGGGGGCGGAAAUCCCGGUGUAGUGGUGGAAUGCGUAGAUAUCGGGAAGAACACCAGAGGCGAAGGCGGCCUCCUGGCAUUUUACUGACGCUAAGGCACGAAAGCG
rnacentral:rRNA from 1 species